rnacentral:rRNA from 1 species
UACGUAGGUGGCAAGCGUUGUCCGGAAUUAUUGGGCGUAAAGCGCGCGCAGGCGGUUCCUUAAGUCUGAUGUGAAAGCCCCCGGCUCAACCGGGGAGGGUCAUUGGAAACUGGGGAACUUGAGUGCAGAAGAGAAGAGCGGAAUUCCACGUGUAGCGGUGAAAUGCGUAGAGAUGUGGAGGAACACCAGUGGCGAAGGCGGCUCUUUGGGCCUUACCUGACACUGAGGAGCGAAAGCGUGGGGAGCGAACAGG